rnacentral:rRNA from 1 species
UGGGGAAUUUUGGACAAUGGGGGCAACCCUGAUGCAGCGACGCCGCGUGAUUUAGAAGGCCUUCGGGUUGUAAAAAUCUUUUGUAUGGGAAGAAAAUGACAGUACCAUACGAAUAAGGACCGGCUAAUUACGUGCCAGCAGCCGCGGUAAUACGUAAGGUCCGAGCGUUGUCCGGAAUCAUUGGGCGUAAAGGGUACGUAGGCGGAUAAGCAAGUUAGAAGUGAAAUCCUAUAGCUCAACUAUAGUAAGCUUUUAAAACUGCUCAUCUUGAGGUAUGGAAGGGAAAGUGGAAUUCCUAGUGUAGCGGUGAAAUGCGCAGAUAUUAGGAGGAAUACCGGUGGCGAAGGCGACUUUCUGGCCAUAAACUGACGCUGAGGUACGAAAGCGUGGGUAGCAAACAGG